GAUGAACGCUGGCGGCGUGCUUAACACAUGCAGGUCGAGCGAGUGAGUUCUUCGGAACGAUCUAGCGGCGGACGGGUGAGUAACACGUGGGCAACCUGCCUCAUAGAGGGGGAUAGCCUCCUGAAAGGGAGAUUAAUACCGCAUAAAAUUAUCGAGUGGCAUCACAUGAUAAUCAAAGGAGUAAUCCGCUAUGAGAUGGGCCCGCGGCGCAUUAGCUAGUUGGUGAGGUAACGGCUCACCAAGGCGACGAUGCGUAGCCGACCUGAGAGGGUGAUCGGCCACAUUGGGACUGGGACACGGCCCAGACUCCUACGGGAGGCAGCAGUGGGGAAUAUUGCACAAUGGGGGAAACCCUGAUGCAGCAACGCCGCGUGAGUGAUGAAGGUCUUCGGAUUGUAAAGCUCUGUCUUUGGGGACGAUGAUGACGGUACCCAAGGAGGAAGCCACGGCUAACUACGUGCCAGCCGCCGCAGUAA
rnacentral:rRNA from 1 species